rnacentral:rRNA from 1 species
GAUGAACGCUGGCGGCGUGCCUAACACAUGCAAGUCGAGCGGCAGCGAGGGGUGCUUGCACCCUGUCGGCGAGCGGCGGACGGCUGAGUAACGCGUGGGAACGUGUCCCAAAGUGAGGAAUAACUGCCCGAAAGGGUAGCUAAUACCGCAUAUUAUCUUCGGAUCAAAGGAUUUAUCCGCUUUGGGAGCGGCUCGCGUCGGAUUAGGUAGUUGGUGAGGUAAUGGCUCACCAAGCCGACGAUCCGUAGCUGGUCUGAGAGGAUGACCAGCCAGACUGGAACUGAGACACGGUCCAGACUCCUACGGGAGGCAGCAGUGAGGAAUCUUCCACAAUGGGCGAAAGCCUGAUGGAGCAACGCCGCGUGCAGGACGAAGGCCUUCGGGUUGUAAACUGCUUUUAUAAGUGAGGAAUAUGACGGUAACUGAUGAAUAAGGAGCGGCUAACUACGUG